GUUGAAAUUUAUUUCAUAACAAUUAAGUAAAGCAAAAGCUCCGAUUUAUUCAAAAUCGGAGCUUUUGCUUU
rnacentral:sRNA from 23 species